AGGGCACCACCAGGAGUGGAGCCUGCGGCUUAAUUUGACUCAGCACGGGAAAACUCACCCGGCCCGGACACUGGAAGGAUUGACAGAUUGAGAGCUCUUUCUUGAUUCAGUGGGUGGUGGUGCAUGGCCGUCCUUAGUUGGUGGAGUGAUUUGUCUGGUUAAUUCCGAUAACGAACGAGACUCUAGCCUACUAAAUAGAUCGUCGGCUUACAAACGCCGGCGAGACUUCUUAGAGGGACAGGCGGUGAUUCAACCGCACGAAGCAGAGCAAUAACAGGUCUGUGAUGCCCUUAGAUGUCCGGGGCCGCACGCGCGCUACACUGAAGUGAUCAGCGUGCUUUUUCAACCUACUCUGUCAAGAGUGGGGAACCCAAUGAACCUUCUUCGUGAUUGGGAUAGGGGAUUGUAAUUAUUCCCCUUGAACGAGGAAUUCCCAGUAAGCGCGAGUCAUAAGCUCGCGUUGAUUACGUCCCUGCCCUUUGUACACACCGCCCGUCGCUACUACCGAUUGAAUGUUUU
rnacentral:rRNA from 1 species